GUGCUUGGUUGGGCAUCACAUAUACUAAAAUUGGAACGAUACAGAGAAGAUUAACAUGGCCCCCGGACAAGGGUGACAGGCAGAUUUGUGAAACAUUCUGUAUUUUC
rnacentral:snRNA from 1 species